UUACAACUUAAUACUCUAGUCGAAUAAUAAAAACAACUGUUUAAAAUUCAAAAAUUUUGGCAGUAUCUUAUUAAAUUAGGGGAACAUGUUACUUAAUACGAUAACCCACGCCUCAUCAUCCAUCUUUAGUAUAAAUCAGUCUGUAUACUGCUGUCGAAAAUAAACCUCUAAAAGAAAGUUUAUAACAAUAAUAAAUUUAUUUAUGUCAAGUCAAAGUGCAGCCCAUAAGAUGGGGUAAAUGUGUUACAAUCUACAUUUAAAGAAAUAGAUAAUAAAAUAAAAAUAUUAAUAAAGUGGACUUAAAAGUAAUGUGAAUUAUAAACAUAUGAAAAUUUUUCUAAGAUAUGCACAUAUCGCCCGUCACUCUCGUCCAAAGACU
rnacentral:rRNA from 1 species